rnacentral:tmRNA from 1 species
GGGGAUGACAGGCUUCGACGGGGAAGGCUGGCCCCUGACUGCAAGCCGAGUAUGCUUCUCAUCUCGUUAAUCUGGAAGCAAAACAACAAGUGCCAACAGUAAUGUUGCCUACAACGCUCUUCCUCUUGCUGCGUAAGUAAGAGAAAGGGUGAUGGCUCUGUAAAAGGAGCCGCGUCUGCCCCAUCCGCUGGUUGACCGGCUGGGAACAGAUGUCAUAAAAGUCAACAUGCGUCGUACUGACGCCGAUAGGUGCGAUUAAGCGGCCCUUUCGGGGGCCAUCGGAUAGCCGUCGUAAGGACCCUGCCGGCCGGGGACGCGGCGGUGAAAGCUAAGUAGGCGGGCUAAGCUUGUAGAUGUCUGGUGGUCGAAUUUUUCGGACGCGGGUUCGAUUCCCGCCAUCUCCACUG